AAACUCUAUAGUAAAAGAAUUAUAUUAAAUUGCAAGUUUAAAGAUGUGUUAAUCACUGGGGUUUA
rnacentral:tRNA from 1 species